GGAAGUGUACAUAUUGGUGUAAGGAUGAUCUGUCAUCCCAUUGAUCACCAGAGUUGAUUUUGCUUAUCUACCUGACUAGGUAGGCGUCCCCCUUUGUCAUUUUUCCAUGUAUAUCUCCUAAAACGGUGCUUUCGAUGAAAAAGGAUGGUGAUCACAGAUAGAAGGAGUAUACCAUUCUUUGGUCAAACAAUGUGGAAAAGCAUUUCUUAAAAAAUUUUAUCUGUUAAAAUCAGAGUCUGAAAUACAAAUGACCUUCAUUUU
rnacentral:snRNA from 11 species